rnacentral:rRNA from 1 species
AUUGAACGCUGGCGGCAGACCUAACACAUGCAAGUCGAGCGCGCGGCGGACGGGUGAGUAAUGUCUGGGAAACUCCCUGAUAGAGGGGGAUAACUACUGGAAACGGUAGCUACUACCGCAUACCAUCAGAUGUGCCCACAUGGGAUUAGCUAGUAGGUGGGGUAACGGCUCACCUAGGCGACGAUCCCUAGCUGGUCUGAGAGGAUGACCAGCCACACUGGAACUGAGACACGGUCCAGACUCCUACGGGAGGCAGCAGUGGGGAAUAUUGCACAAUGGGCGCAAGCCUGAUGCAGCCAUGCCGCGUGUAUGAAGAAGGCCUUCGGGUUGUAAAGUACUUUCAGCGGGGAGGCGUUACCCGCAGAAGAAGCACCGGCUAACUCCGUGCCAGCAGCCGCGGUAAUUC